rnacentral:misc_RNA from 1 species
GAUGAAGAACGCAGCGAAAUGCGAUAAGUAAUGUGAAUUGCAGAUUUCAGUGAAUCAUCGAAUCUUUGAACGCACAUUGCGCCCGCCAGUAUUCUGGCGGGCAUGCCUGUUCGAGCGUCAUUUCAACCCUCAAGCCCCCGGGCUUGGUGUUGGGGAUCGGCGUGCCCUCGCGGCGCGCCGUCCCCUAAAUCUAGUGGCGGUCUCGCUGUAGCUUCCUCUGCGUAGUAGCAACACUCGCACUGGAUCGCAGCGCGGCCACGCCGUUAAACCCCCCACUUCUGAAAGUUUGACCUCGGAUCAGGUAGGAAUACCCGCUGAACUUAAGCAUAUCAAUAAGCGGAGGA